UACGUAGGGGGCAAGCGUUAUCCGGAUUUACUGGGUGUAAAGGGAGCGUAGGCGGUAGCGCAAGUCAGAAGUGAAAGCCCGGGGCUCAACCCCGCGGACUGCUUUUGAAACUGCGUAACUGGAGUGCAGGAGAGGUAAGUGGAAUUCCUAGUGUAGCGGUGAAAUGCGUAGAUAUUAGGAGGAACACCAGUGGCGAAGGCGGCUUACUGGACUGUAACUGACGCUGAGGCUCGAAAGCGUGGGGAGCAAACAGG
rnacentral:rRNA from 1 species